AGUUUGAAAAAAGAGAGAGACGAGAUUCUGUCGUAUAAAUCGAGUGGGGAAAAUACAAGCCAGGAACUACUGAAACAGCUCGAAACUGGGAGGCAAAAGAUUGUGGCUGAAUUUCAGCAACUGCACCAGUUUUUGGAGGAACAAGAGCGACUCCUGCUGGCCCAGCUGGAAGAGCUGAAUAAGGAAA